CCUACGGGUGGCAGCAGUGAGGAAUAUUGGUCAAUGGGCGCGAGCCUGAACCAGCCAAGUCGCGUGAAGGAUGACUGCCCUACGGGUUGUAAACUUCUUUUAUAAAGGAAUAAAGUGAGGCACGUGUGCCUUUUUGUAUGUACUUUAUGAAUAAGGCUCGGCUAACUCCGUGCCAGGCGCCGCGGUAAUACGGAGGAUCCGAGCGUUAUCCGGAUUUUUUGGGGUUUAAGGGAGCGUAGAUGGGUUGUUAAGUCCGUUGUGAAAGUUUGGGGGUCAACCGUAAAAUUGCAAUUGAUACUGGCAGCCUUGAGUGCAGUUGAGGUAGGCGGAAUUCGUGGUGUAGCGGUGAAAUGCUUAGAUAUCACGAAGAACUCCGAUUGCGAAGGCAGCCUACUAAACUGCCACUGACAUUGAUGCUCGAAAGUGUGGGGAUCAAACAGGAUUAGAUACCCGGGUAGUC
rnacentral:rRNA from 1 species